UUGUAUUUGUAAUGUUUAUCAUACCGUAAAUAUUUAAAGUAUGAUAGUUAAAGGUUGAGAUUGUUGGCAAAGAGCCUCCACUCCUCCUCUAACAAGCUAAAAGUAAUUUAUUAUGCUGUUAAUGAAGGUAAAAAUUAAAUAUCCUGCAUAGUUCUCCUCCUCUGCUGUCCUCUGAUCAGAACGGAGUCCCUAGCAACGACCCGUUUUGCCUAGCAAAGGUCUGGCAUUCUGUGGUUGUUCUGGUAAUCCUACAUUGUCAACCUUUAAAUAAAUCUGUGUGCUGUCUCAUGAUCAGAAUGUUCCCGAUGAGGGCCUUGUUGCAGAAGGACCAAGCGAUCAGUCAUCUUUAGAAUGUUUGAGAGGAAAGCAUCUUGUCAGUCCAAUAAGAGAGCACCUGCUUCAGGACAGACCCAACAGAGAUUCAUCAGAGCCUGCCGGAGAGGGAGUCUCCAGAAAGACCCACCCAGUGCUAGAAUUACCACCCUCCACCUACUCACACCGCACUUUUCAAUUUUGUGGGGAUCAACAAGAUAUGCAAAUCGGACCAGAAGCACAGGACAUGUUAGAGAAGCAACCAGGAUCCAAUGUGCCUGCUACUCCACCUCAUCAGCAAGAGACACCAAACCAACAGGCAGAGACAUUUUUGUUGGAUGGAGAUGAUCCAGCGUAUCCUGGAGCUCCACUAACAAAGGGACAAAGUUUAAUCUUACUGAUGUCUUAUGUACUAAGGCACAAUGUGACAGGUGUGGCACUUGAACAUCUACUGAAGAUUGUCAAUGAACAUUUCCCUGGAAUGGUACCAGUAACCACAUACCUUUUUCACAAAGCUUAUGGACAAUAUGGAAAUUAUGUCCCCCAUUUUUACUGUCCAGCAUGUGAAAACUACUUAGGGGUAAAUAAUACCAGUGAACUAAUGUGUGGUGCUUGUAAUGCAGUAACUGAUUCAGAGAGCUGUCUCAAAAGUGGGUGUUUCUUUCUAGUGCUUAGUUUGGCUUCACAAAUCAAAACAUUGCUUGAACAAAACCAAGGUUUAAAAAAAGACUGGCAAUGUGCAGAUGUCAUUUCAGAUAUACAGUGUGGAGAAGAGUACCAGAAACUCAAAGAAUCAGGUGAAUUAGGUGAGGAUGACAUAACUUUAAUUUGGAACUGUGAUGGAAUUCCAGUUUUCAGGAGUUCAAAGUAUCAAAUCUGGCCCAUUCAGUGCCAGGUUAUAGAACUCGAACCUAAAGAACGCAAGGCAAAUAUCUGUCUUCCUUGUCUCUGGU